AACGCUUCUCAGCCUUUUGGCUAAAAUCAAGAGUAGUAUCUGUUCUUAUCAGUUUAAUAUCUGACUUGUUCUCUAUCCGAGGACAAUAUAUUAAAUGGAUUUUUGGAGCAGGGAGUUGGAUAGGAGCUUGCUCCGUCCACUCCACGCAUUGACCUCGUAUCGCAGUAUCUCCGGAAACAGUGCACCUCUU